rnacentral:rRNA from 1 species
AACGAACGCUGGCGGCAUGCCUAACACAUGCAAGUCGAACGAGACCUUCGUGUCUAUUGGCGCACGGGUGCGUAACGCCGGGUAACCUGCCCUUAGGUUCGGAAUAACUCCCCGUAAGAGGUGCUAAUACCGGAUAAUCUCUUCCCACCUAAGAGUUAUCGCCUUUGGAUGGGCCCGCGUUGGAUUCGCUAGUUGGUAGGGUAAAAGCCUACCAUGGCGACGAUCCAUGGCUGGUCGGUGACCAUGAUCAGCCACACUGGGACUGAGACACGGCCCAGACCCGGACGGAAGGCAGCAGUAGGGAAUAUUGGACAAUGGGCGAAAGCGUGACCCAGCAAUGCCGGGGGAGUCAGGAAGGGCUUAGGGUUGUAAAGCCCUUUUACACGGGAUGAUAAUGACAGUACCGGGAGAAUAAGCACCGGCUAACUCCGUG